AGCAAUAUUUAACAUAGCUCCUACCGCCGCCAGAAGGCAAGCAAGGGAGUUUGCAGUGGCAAAAACAGUCUCCACCGCCAUAGCUUCCAAAACAGGGCGCACCCACAUGGUUCUCUCCACAAAGCCUAGACCGUCCAACUCCAUUGCCGCAAAAACGAGCUCAAAAGUGACCAGAAAUAGUGAAGAAUAGCAAGAAAAAAACAGAGAGAGAGAGAAGAAGAAGCUCGGAGAGAGAU
rnacentral:misc_RNA from 1 species